rnacentral:rRNA from 1 species
UACGUAGGGUGCGAGCGUUGUCCGGAAUUAUUGGGCGUAAAGAGCUUGUAGGCGGUUUGUCGCGUCUGCUGUGAAAAUCCGGGGCUUAACCCCGGACCUGCAGUGGGUACGGGCAGACUAGAGUGUGGUAGGGGAGACUGGAAUUCCUGGUGUAGCGGUGAAAUGCGCAGAUAUCAGGAGGAACACCGAUGGCGAAGGCAGGUCUCUGGGCCACUACUGACGCUGAGAAGCGAAAGCGUGGGGAGCGAACAGG